CAGUAGCCACGGGAAUACGAAGGGUGCAAGCGUUACUCGGAAUUACUGGGCGUAAAGCGUGCGUAGGUGGUUGUUUAAGUCUGCUGUGAAAGCCCUGGGCUCAACCUGGGAAUUGCAGUGGAUACUGGCAAGCUAGAGUGUGUCAGAGGAUGGUGGAAUUCCCGGUGUAGCGGUGAAAUGCGUAGAGAUCGGGAGGAACAUCAGUGGCGAAGGCGGCCAUCUGGGACAACACUGACGCUGAGGCACGAAAGCGUGGGGAGCAAACAGGAUUAGAUACCCCGGUAGUCCCUGUCUCUUAUAC
rnacentral:rRNA from 1 species